CGUGAGUAAUUCAACUUGGUCUCAACAAGCCGCGGCGGUACUUACCGCCGCCUGACUGGACAACCACCGCGGCGGUACGUACUGCCGCGGCAAAUAAUUUCCCCAAGAUCACAGCGCCACUCGGUGGCGAUGUGGGGCAAGGGCAAUACACACGACGAACAGAAGAUACCGCAUAACGUGUUAAUAGGGCUUGCAGUGCAAAACAUCACGGGCCACAAACUUCCAGCAACCAGCCUCCAGAACAAAAUUGUCCCAGCAAAGAGAAAGGUGCAUGCCAAGACAUGGCUCAGCCUCAUUCAAUUCAAAUAGGGAAGGCUCAAAUAGUUAAACAUUAUUGAUUGCUCUUGUAUUGAUGCACAAGAAGUAUACCACCAGUUGUGAACAUGGGAGAAGCA